GAUAAACGCUAGCGGCAGGCUUAACACAUGCAAGUCGAGGGGCAGCAUAGAUUGUAGCAAUACAAUUGGUGGCGACCGGCGCACGGGUGCGUAACGCGUAUGCAACCUACCCGUCACAGGGGGAUAAUCCGGAGAAAUCUGGUCUAAUACCCCAUAACAUAUGGAUCGGCAUCGGUUCAUGUUGAAAUUUUCGGAGGUGACGGAUGGGCAUGCGUAGCAUUAGCUUGUUGGUGAGGUAACGGCUCACCAAGGCGACGAUGCUUAGGGGGACUGAGAGGUUUUCCCCCCACACUGGUACUGAGACACGGACCGGACUCCUACGGGAGGCAGCAGUGAGGAAUAUUGGUCAAUGGGCGCAAGCCUGAACCAGCCAUGCCGCGUGCAGGAUGACGGCUCUAUGAGUUGUAAACUGCUUUUGUACGAGGGUAAAGUGGGUUACGUGUAACCUUUUGAAAGUAUCGUACGAAUAAGGAUCGGCUAACUCCGUGCCAGCAGCCGCGGUAA
rnacentral:rRNA from 1 species